GUGGAGCUUGCUCCGGGUAGAUCUAGUGGCGGACGGGUGAGUAACACGUGAGCAACCUGCCUUUCAGAGGGGGAUAACGUUUGGAAACGAACGCUAAUACCGCAUAACAUCAUUGGUCGGCAUCGGCUGAUGAUCAAAGGAGUAAUCCGCUGAAAGAUGGGCUCGCGCCCGAUUAGAUAGUUGGUGAGGUAAUGGCUCACCAAGUCUGCGAUCGGUAGCCGGACUGAGAGGUUGAUCGGCCACAUUGGGACUGAGACACGGCCCAGACUCCUACGGGAGGCAGCAGUGGGGAAUAUUGCACAAUGGAGGAAACUCUGAUGCAGCGACGCCGCGUGAGUGAAGACGGUCUUCGGAUUGUAAAGCUCUGUCUUCGGGGACGAUAAUGACGGUACCCGAGGAGGAAGCCACGGCUAACUACGUGCCAGCAGCCGCGGUAAUACGUAGGUGGCGAGCGUUGUCCGGAAUUACUGGGUGUAAAGGGAGCGCAGGCGGGGAGCCAAGUUGGAUGUGAAAUACCGCAGCUCAACUGCGGGGCUGCAUCCAAAACUGGUUCUCUUGAGUGAAGUAGAGGUAGGCGGAAUUCCUAGUGUAGCGGUGAAAUGCGUAGAUAUUAGGAGGAACACCAGUGGCGAAGGCGGCCUACUGGGCUUUAACUGACGCUGAGGCUCG
rnacentral:rRNA from 1 species